rnacentral:rRNA from 1 species
UACGAAGGGGGCUAGCGUUGCUCGGAAUCACUGGGCGUAAAGGGUGCGUAGGCGGGGCUUUAAGUCAGAGGUGAAAUCCUGGAGCCCAACUCCAGAACUGCCUUUGAUACUGAGGAUCUUGAGUUCGGGAGAGGUGAGUGGAACUGCGAGUGUAGAGGUGAAAUUCGUAGAUAUUCGCAAGAACACCAGUGGCGAAGGCGGCUCACUGGCCCGAUACUGACGCUGAGGCACGAAAGCGUGGGGAGCAAACAGG